ensembl:processed_transcript Ptpmt1 protein tyrosine phosphatase, mitochondrial 1
GGGCCGGGCCGGGCCGGGCCGGGAGCGGGCCCAGGGCCUCUGCGGGCGCCCCGCGGCCCUCGCUGAGCCUCCUCUUUGCCUCGGCAGCUGGUACUGGACGAGAACGUGCGCGGGGUGAUCACUAUGAACGAGGAGUACGAGACCCGAUUCCUGUGCAACACCUCGAAGGGGUCUUAAGUCCUGAUCCGAUUCUCCUGCCUCCACUUUCCAAGUACUGAGAUUACAGGAAUGGAAGAAAGCAGGAGUUGAGCAGCUACGGCUCAGCACAGUCGACAUGACUGGGGUCCCAACCUUGGCCAAUCUCCACAAAGGAGUCCAGUUUGCUCUCAAGUACCAGGCACUGGGCCAGUGUGUCUAUGUGCAUUGUAAGGCUGGUCGAUCCAGAAGUGCCACAAUGGUGGCAGCCUAUCUGAUUCAGGUACACAACUGGAGCCCAGAGGAGGCUAUAGAAGCGAUCGCCAAAAUCCGGUCACACAUCUCCAUCAGGCCCAGCCAGCUGGAAGUUCUCAAAGAGUUCCACAAGGAGAUCACUGCAAGGGCAGCAAAGAAUUAACUACUGAUUAUCUCUCAUGCUGACUUAAGAGUCUGAAGACUGUGGAUAACAAAGAACUUGGAUCUCCCUGAGAUAUAGUAACAAGUUUACAGGACAAAGCAGCUUAACCCGACCACACUGCAAAUGUGCUGACUGGUAGAUAAUGUGUCUCCUUUGCCUUCCUUCCUGAAAUAACACUUGGAUGGCUACAG